UACGAAGGGGGCUAGCGUUGUUCGGAAUUACUGGGCGUACAGCGCACGUAGGCGGAUUGUUAAGUCAGAGGUGAAAUCCCGGAGCUCAACUUCGGAACUGCCUUUGAUACUGGCAAUCUAGAGUCCGGAAGAGGUUAGUGGAAUUCCCAGUGCAGAGGUGAAAUUCGUAGAUAUUGGGAAGAACACCAGUGGCGAAGGCGGCUAACUGGUCCGGUUCUGACGCUGAGGCGCGAAAGCGUGGGGAGCAAACAGG
rnacentral:rRNA from 1 species